GAGAGAAAAUAUGUGGGAGAUCACAAAUCGUACGUUAAAUGGGAAGAAACAGGGAGAGGUUGGGAUGAGGACUGGGAAUAAGAUGAGAGAGUUCGAUUGAGGAAUGGGAGCACACUUGCCCUGUUGAUCUGUCUUCAGUCGAGCAGCAUCACCCCGACUUUACCCCAUAAUGCAUUUUCAGCCCUGUUUCACUGCACUGGAGAUGAACACCCACAUGAUGAAGAGAGAGAGAGAGAGCGAGAGAGAAAAGUGCCAAGGAUGACAGCAAAGGAUAUUACGAUGUUUGCCAUCAUCCUGCACCUAAAUCCAGUGGAUCAGCACACACCUGCCCUUCCAAACCAAGGUUAACAAUGCCUGCUCUCAAAAUGAUGGACCUGGACUUCACUCUCAUCUCUGAGAGUUGCCAACACAUUUGAUGAAACACAUCCCACAAUGGUGUGAGGAUCACAACAAGCCGCACGCGUCGGAAAGGCAGCGGAGAUGCAACCAGAGCGAGACUGAGCAAUGACCUUGGAAACAGAGACUGUCAACACAUCUCACGUCUCACGUCCGAGUUCUGUCACUAGCUCGGAAACUGCUCCUUUAACAAUCCCUCCAAAUCAUGUCCAGACUGUUCACAGGAUCGUAUUUGUGACGAGCUGAGUUGUUUACUAUGAAUUCUUUAAGGUUUAAUUCAGCGGGGGCGAGGUGAGAAAACUCAAUUGUUCAACACGCGCUUCCCUCUGCUUUCUCACAAUAAAAACACACACACACACACACAUGCAGACAUGAACACACACAUACUGUACACACACACACAGCAGAGUGGUGUGUGUGAAAUAUGAAAAGCUUAUUGCAGGGAAACCCAUCUGAUAUCUGUUUGUCAUUACCAUAAU